rnacentral:rRNA from 1 species
AUGCGUAAUAGGGAGUGCAAUUCGUCUGCUGGGACUCAUGCUUCUUCCUCGACGCCGUCUACGGUCCCUUUUACUAAGCAGGAUACUGUGAAGCUUAAGCGUCUACUUGUUGCUUCAGGUUCUUCGACAGGUACUGCAGGCUCUGUGACUGGUGCUUCUAGUGCUGGGCGACCACUGUCAACACAGUCAGGUACAUCCCCAUGGGUUCUGGAUUCUGGAGCUUCAUUUCAUAUGUCUUCUGAUUCUUCUGUCUUGUCCUCUCUUAGAUCUCUCGAUUUCCCUAUUAAUGUUCAUACUCCCGAUGGUACUCCUCUUCCUGUUACUAGUCGAGGCACUCUUUCCACUUCUUCAUUUUAUGUUCCAGAUGUUUCUCAUGUUCCUUGUCUUGCCAUGAACCUUUUUUCCGCGAGUCAGCUUACUGAUUCUGGUUGUCGUGUCAACCUUGAUGUUGAUUCUUGCACUAUCCAGGAUCAUCACACGAAGGCCCUGGUUGGGGCUGGCCCUCGCCGCCAUGAUUCUCAGGGCCUUUGGGAGUUAGACUGGCUUCAUGUGCCUUCUGCUGCUACCACACUUGCCAAUUCAUCUGCCUUCGUCGCUUCAACUACAGCUCCUUCCAGCAGUGGCAUCAUCGACUUGGUCACCCUUGUGGUUCUCGACUAUCAUCUUUAG